GUCACGCCGGGCUAUGACGGUUCCCGAACGCCGCAAGGUCAAGGGAUGAAAAGGGAACGCGGUGAGGGGUGCUGACCCCAGUUCCGCGACUGCCCCCGCAACUGUGAGCGGCGAGCCCGCCCCGAAGACGCCACUGGACCGAAAGGGCCCGGGAAGGUUCGGGGAAGGCCGCGACCCGCGAGUCAGGAGACCUGCCGUCGAGCGCGCAAGCGCC
rnacentral:ncRNA from 18 species